AGAAAUUUCUAGAAUUAGUCGAACAAUUUUGUGAAAAGUAUCUAAAGUAACCUACCAUUUUACUUGAUUCAAAGAGAACAUUUUGUAAAGAAGUCUGAAUAUUUAUAUUAAAAACUAAUUCAAUGUUAUAAUUAAUUUUUGAAAGAAUUUAAUGAGAAUUUGUGUAAGUCGUAGUUGAAUCUUUCUCGAAGCAUUAAACAUAAACAUAAACAUUUGAGACUAUAUAAAGCGACACAUCGCCAAGACGGACCCAUCAAUCGCUGAGAGUCACCGAACAGCCAACAUUAUAAUCAAUUAUGGAAGUAUCAUCAUCAACUCGUACAACAGUCGUUGCGGUCAGCGUACCGCGACAAUGGUUGUCAGCGUGUUCAAGGGAUGUAUUGGAGAGCAUUUUACGGCGAGCACUCCGAUCAUACAUCGUGGCUGAAAACGAUGUAUCAGUAAGAAUCGCGGGGAUAGAGGCGCAACUGGUUGAAUUCCAUUUCGGUGAAUACUGGUUCGUGCCAAAAAAUCUCUUCGACGACAAUGACGAUGACAACAACGACAACAACGACAACAACGAUAACACAGACAAGGAGAAUGAGAAUGACAACGACGACGACGACGUAAUUGUCCUAGAUGACAGCAACGAUAACAAAGACAAGGGAAACGAGAAGGACAACGACGAUGAUGACGAUGUAACCGUUCUAAAUUAAACAUGUAUCGUCAUCAACUGCGGUUCCAAUACCACGAUCGUGAUCAGAAUUAUCAUCAUCAUCAUCCCAUCAUAGUAUCAUCGGGAACGAGUAUCAGAAUUUUUUU
rnacentral:misc_RNA from 1 species